rnacentral:rRNA from 1 species
UACGUAGGGGGCUAGCGUUGUCCGGAAUCAUUGGGCGUAAAGAGCGUGUAGGCGGCUCGGUAAGUCCGCUGUGAAAGUCGGGGGCUCAACCCUCGAAUGCCGGUGGAUACUGUCGAGCUAGAGUGCGGAAGAGGCGAGUGGAAUUCCUGGUGUAGCGGUGAAAUGCGCAGAUAUCGGGAGGAACACCAGUGGCGAAGGCGACUACCUGGCCUGUUCUUGACGCUGAGGCGCGAAAGCUAGGGGAGCAAACGGG